GAGGGUAGAGUUCAGUGGUAGAUUGCGUGCUUAGAAUGCAUGAGGUCGUGGGUUCAAUCCCCAGUGCCUCUA
rnacentral:tRNA from 1 species